GCUCACUCAGCUGUACCUGUACCAAAAUUGGAACAAUACAGAGAAGAUUAGCAUGGUCCCUGUGCAAGGAUCACACACAAAUUUGAGAAGGAUUCUUUAUUUUC
ensembl:snRNA U6 U6 spliceosomal RNA